rnacentral:rRNA from 1 species
CCUACGGGAGGCAGCAGUAGGGAAUCUUCCGCAAUGGACGAAAGUCUGACGGAGCGACGCCGCGUGAGUGAUGAAGGUCUUCGGAUCGUAAAACUCUGUUGUUAGGGAAGAAUAAGUAUAAGGCGAAUAACCUUAUACCUUGACGGUACCCAACCAGAGAGCCCCGGCUAACUACGUGCCAGCAGCCGCGGUAAU